AAAAAGAUAAGCUAAUUAAAGCUUUUAGGUUCAUACCCUAAAUAUAAAGAAAAAAAAUCUUUUCUUUUUA
rnacentral:tRNA from 1 species